AUUUAUGACUAAUACUAAGUGCCCAUGUCAUGAUUUGGGGGCUGGCAGUCCAAGAAAGUCUACUACAAUGAAGUGGCUGGCUUGGCAUCACAAUCAAGCUUUCAAUGGACUCCAGAAGCCAUCCUAUAAGACUGUUUAUUGGCAUUGCGCCUCAUCACACAGGUGCAGGAAUUUGGAUUUAAAUAAAGCCAUCAAAGGCUUUGAGGCCAAAGAGUCAACAUCCAAACUUUGUUCUAAAACUUGCCCUGGUUGCUGAGUGGUGGAGAAACUGGAAGAAGGGGAGACAUGGUGAAGGUAGCAGAGGUCUUGACAGAUUCUAUCAAAGGAUUUACUCAUCAUCAGAAGAAAACUUGGAGCUUGGUUACUUUCUUCCCCUUUCUUCAGUUGGAUCGGUUUUUACGUUGAGUCACAUCAUGGGUAUAUGUGGGAACACACUAUGGAAGUCAGAAGACAUGGAGUCAGUUCUCUCCUUCCCCUUUAUGUGAAUUCUGAGGUGCAAACUCAGGUCACCAAGCUUGCUUGAUUCAAUGUAGAACUCUCAGCUACUACCCCAGCACCAUGUCUGCCUGCACACUGCCAUGUUCCCGUCAGGAUGAUAAUGGACUAAACCUGGAACUGUAGGUCCAUUUGCAUGCUUUCUGGCAUUUCUGACAUUCCAGGGAAAUGACGUGGCAGCCGCCUGGGCUCAGUGAAUGCAGGAGAGAUCAGAACUGCAGCUGGGGUGCUACAGGACUAAUAGAGCCAAGGACACUGGCAGGAGGGAGGCCACUGCCCCUUGUUGCCACCUCACCAGUACAGGAUCUCACUAUGUAGUACCUGGAUGUCCUGGAAUACACAAGAUUUUUUUAUCAAAGGUGAGGGAGGAGGAGCAAGACCAAGAGACUCUUGGUUCUUAGCCUACAGCUUGGGAAGUCCAAAAGAACAGUACCAGCAUCUGUUCAGCCUUUUGUGGGGAUCCUGUAACCCUCAACUCGUGGCAGAAAGUCAAGGGCAAGGGUGGGUUUGGGAGACAAAACAUGAUGGGAAUUAUCCUGAACAGAAAAGCAAAUGCAUGCUAACUAGUCCCAUAUCUUACAAAAGUAAGAGUUCACUUGGGGGCAGCUCCCUUGAUUCAAAUGCUUCUUAGAGGAUUCACCACCUCUCAGCACCAUUCUAUUGGGUGGGAAUCAAGCCUCAACAUCAGCUUCAGACCACUACAUGUGGAUACGCCAAGGUAUAACCCAUGUAUAUAUUCAGGGGCACUUUGUGUGGCC
rnacentral:lncRNA from 1 species